CUCUCUCCCUUCGUUUGUCCCUAGGGAAGUGUGAGAUCGGCUGGGCCUACUACUGCACGGGAGCAGGUGCCGCUGCCGCCAUGCUGCUGUGCACAUGGCUGGCUUGCUUCUCGGGCAAGAAACAGAAGCACUACCCAUACUGAGGUGGAGCCAUCAGGAGAAGCCGAAGAGAAGACAGGCCACAGGGGCUGGAAGGGGCCAAAACUUCCGGCUACUUCUAAAAGGUGGAAUAGUGGUUCUGAUUCAAUACCGUGCUAAUGAAGGGAAACCCGAUGGAACAAGGAACUUUAUUUAGGAAGGGAGGGUGGUGGGAGGCUGGUGACAGAAAUGGAGAAUGAUGGAGGAAAGAAAAUAUGGACCAAAGGCUAAGAGUUGCAGGGUAUCGGGUGUUUCUAUUCCACACAAUAUUGUCAGCAUAUAUCGCAUACACAUGCAAAGCAAAUCUAUAUAUGCAAACAAGAAUUUUGGUUGCUUUUUUUUUAAUGGCGAGGACUUGGGAGAAUCAAAAGGGCUAGUAGAAACAGUAUUAUGUGGGAAGCAGGGUACCCCACAAACGUUCCCUGUAGGUAAUGCCACUCCUGAAAGCACACGAGCACACACGCAGAUACACAUCCACACAUGCCCACGCAACACACGUAAAUCAUCACAGACUGUGGGGGAGGGGUUCCCUAGUGCAUUACUCCUCUGUUUUCUUUUUACUAUCCAUUGAAAACACAGUAUUAUCCCUUUAUAAAACAUACAUUAAACCUAAUAAAUGGACCAAUAUGCCACUGUAUCAGUAUUUUGUAUAUCCUGCAUAAACUCUUUAGCCACUCCACAUGUUCUCAGUGUUUAUGCAGACUUUUAGAGUUAAGCCUUCAUAUUUCAAUAUUAUUCAAAGGUAUGCAACAUUUCUCUGAGUAGCUUCUGAUAUGAUAUUCUUAUGAAGUCAAGGGGCAAAUUUCUGUCCACUGUAGGAGAGACUUCCGUUGAGGAGGUGAGAGUCAUGAGAGACAUUUUCCAAUCAUUAGAUCUUGUUUUCUUUCGUCCAUUAUUGUACUGUGCUGUACCACAUUUAUUUCAAUAUUCAUUUUGUAAAAAAACAAUUAAAAAGUGCUAUUUUGUUUGUAUUUGAA
rnacentral:lncRNA from 1 species